CGGGCCUCGGCCUCCCCUUGGGCGCGGCCCUGAGCGUGCGGCUCGAGGCCCCGGGCCCGGGAGGGUCGCGGGGAGGCGGGGGGUCGGCCCUGACCGGCGGAGCCCUCCCGGUUUCAGAUAAGACGGGCGGCAAGAAGUUCUCUAAGGAGUUCGAGGAGGCCAGUUCGAAGCUGGAGGAGUUCGUCAACGGGCUGGACAAGCAGGUGAAGAACGGGCCCUCGCUGACGGAGGCGCUGGAGAACGCCGGCGUCUUCUACGAGGCUCAGUACAAGGAGGUCAAGGUGGUGGCCAACGCCUAUAAGACGUUCGCCAACCGCGUGAACAACCUGAAGAAGAAGCUGGACCAGCUGAAGUCGACCCUCCCGGACCCCGAGGAGUCGCCGGUGCCUCGCCCAGCGUGACGCGCCCUCGGCCCACGGGCUCCGAGUCCCCGUUCCAGGGCAUGGGGGGAGAGGCUUCGCCCUCGCCGGCCGCCGAGAGCGAGAGGGUCGGGCUCGCGGCCCCCGCCACGGACAACCCGCGACGUGGAGGACAUGGAGCUGUCCGACGUGGAGGACGACACGGCCAAGAUCAUCGUGGAGGACCGGAAGGAGAAGCCGGCGGCGGAGAAAGCCGGCGGGCCCGCGCCCGCCCCCGCGCCCGCCAAGCCGGCCGACUGCCCCCGAAGCCGGCGCCCGGCCCCCCGGCCCCCACCCCGGCGGCCUCGUCGCCGACCCCGCCGCCCCCGAAGCCGGCCGCCCCGGCGCCUCUGCCGCCGUCCCCCGCCCUGGCCCUGCCCAACCUGGCCAACGUGGACCUGGCCAAGAUCAGCUCCAUCCUCAGCAGCCUCACGUCCGUCAUGAAGAACACGGGUAAGGGCCCCCGCGGGGGACGGGGAGCGGCGCUCUCGGGCCGGGAGGGGGCGGGGGCGGGGGCGGGGGGGGGACCCCCCGAGGGCCGGGCGCAGGCCGGGUCCGCUCCCGGACCCUCCCUCCCACCCGAAACGGCGCCCGCCCCCCC
rnacentral:lncRNA from 1 species